rnacentral:tRNA from 1 species
GGAAGGGUGGCUGAGCGGUUGAAGGCGGCAGUCUUGAAAACUGUUGAACCUGUCAAAGGGUUCCGUGGGUUCGAAUCCCACCCCUUCCGCCA